rnacentral:rRNA from 1 species
GGGGAAUAUUGGACAAUGGGCGCAAGCCUGAUCCAGCCAUGCCGCGUGUGUGAAGAAGGCCUUCGGGUUGUAAAGCACUUUUGUACGGGAAGAAAAGCGUACGGUUAAUACCUGUUCGUCCUGAAGGUACCGUAAGAAUAAGCACCGGCUAACUUCGUGCCAGCAGCCGCGGUAAUACGAAGGGUGCAAGCGUUACUCGGAAUUACUGGGCGUAAAGCGUGCGUAGGUGGUCUGUUAAGUCGGAUGUGAAAGCCCUGGGCUCAACCUGGGAAUGGCAUUGGAUACUGGCAGUCUGGAGUGCGGUAGAGGGUGGCGGAAUUCCCGGUGUAGCAGUGAAAUGCGUAGAUAUCGGGAGGAACAUCCGUGGCGAAGGCGGCCACCUGGACCAGCACUGACACUGAGGCACGAAAGCGUGGGGAGCAAA